rnacentral:rRNA from 1 species
CGGGACGGGUGAGUAAUGUCUGGGAAACGUGCCUGAUGAGGGGGAGUAACUACUGGAAACGGUAGCUAAUACCGCAUAACGUCGCAAGACCAAGAGGGGGACCUUCGGGCCUCUUGCCAUCGGAUGUGCCCAGAUGGGAUUAGCUAGUAGGUGGGGUAACGGCUCACCUAGGCGACGAUCCCUAGCUGGUCUGAGAGGAUGACCAGCCACACUGGAACUGAGACACGGUCCAG